rnacentral:rRNA from 1 species
AAUGAACGCUGGCGGCAGGCUUAACACAUGCAAGUCGAGCGCAUCCUUCGGGGUGAGCGGCAGACGGGUGAGUAACGCGUGGGAAUCUACCUUUUGCUACGGAAUAGCUCCGGGAAACUGGAAUUAAUACCGUAUGUGCCCUUAGGGGGAAAGAUUUAUCGGCAAGAGAUGAGCCCGCGUUGGAUUAGCUAGUUGGUGGGGUAAAGGCCUACCAAGGCGACGAUCCAUAGCUGGUCUGAGAGGAUGAUCAGCCACAUUGGGACUGAGACACGGCCCAAACUCCUACGGGAGGCAGCAGUGGGGAAUAUUGGACAAUGGGCGCAAGCCUGAUCCAGCCAUGCCGCGUGAGUGAUGAAGGCCUUAGGGUUGUAAAGCUCUUUCACCGGAGAAGAUAAUGACGGUAUCCGGAGAAGAAGCCCCGGCUAACUUCGUG